rnacentral:rRNA from 1 species
UUACAACGGAAUAACCCGGCGAAAGUCGGACUAAUACCGUAUGAUAUCCUAUGCAGGCAUCUAACUAGGAUUAAAGGUUUAGCGGUAAGGGAUGGGGAUGCGUCUGAUUAGGCAGUUGGCGGGGUAACGGCCCACCAAACCGACGAUCAGUAGGGGUUCUGAGAGGAAGGUCCCCCCACAUUGGAACUGAGACACGGUCCAAACUCCUACGGGAGGCAGCAGCG